rnacentral:lncRNA from 1 species
CGGGGUGUCUCGGCGUUUCUGGGGGCUGGGAGCGGUUUGCGUGGCUCCGCGGUGUCCCCCUGGAAUCCUGCCCUUUGUUCGAGUGUUAACUCGGCUGGCUGCUGCAGGGGUGAAGCGCUCAUAAAUACUUUUUCCUCUCUGUAGUAUAAAUUUUUGUUUUGUUUCCAGAGAACCUGUAUUUCCUUACUGCAGAGCAUAAUAGGAAGUUUUUGGUGAUUUCUGAGAUGCAGGGUGAUGCUCACUCUUUUUGUUUGAGGGACAGCUGUUUCUACUGAAAAAUCAGUUCUUCCUAAAGCUUGGAUAGCCACUGAUGGGUUUCUACGAGAAAAGUACACUUGUAAGAACUGGUUGUGUGAACAUCUGUUAGUGCUGAGCUGGUGACUAGUACCAGAGUUCAGACUCAAAGCCUGACUUUGACUGUUCUGUUAAAACAUGUAGCAGGGCUCACCCAGAGGGAUUUUCUUUCUGUGACUUCUCUAGGCACAGAGACAAGCCGCAGGAUGGAUUUUCUCCUGGCACAUCCUGAGUUUCUCACCCAGCUCUUCCCAACAGCCAGAAUUUUUGCAUUGCGUUAUAGAACAACUGAAGAAAAGGCCUAUGUAAUCACAGCUGCUGCCAAAACAUGAAACAGAAUUCAUGGGUGUCUGUCACCUACCAGAUAAAGAAGAUGAAACAGCCUAUCCACAGCAAACCUGACAAGUACACUAGAUCUCCGCUAUAUCACGAGCAUUUGGUUGAAGAUGAGCAUUCAGGUGUCUCUUCCCAUGCACAGAACAAGGUAUUUAAUCAGUACCCAGCCCCUUUGUGUUGUAGGGAAGCCCUAGUACAGCUGCUGAUCUCUGCAGUGGAUUGUUAGCAAGAGUGCUGUAUCUCAGUUCCCAGCUGCAAAGCAGACUCCUUUACAUCCACUUUUAGAAUGAUGAGCUGCUUCAUCAUGCUGCUUUGAUGCUUCAGCGUGAGCUCUGAGCAGGCCUGCUAGCCCCGUAGCCACUGGUUGAACGCCAGUAAUUCAUGGGCCAAGGCAGUUGUGUGUUACGUUCCACUGAUAUGUGUUUCAGCCUAGUGUCAGGCUUCUGGGAAAAGAAAUGUACAGAAUUCUGAAUCUGUGCACUUCAGGGGCAGUAAAUUGAGAAGAAUGGCUGAGUGACUGAAUUCCACAUGACUUCUAUUCACAUUUGUCUUCUGUGUAUUUUUUUAUUCUCUCUCAUUCCAGACUCACCCCCUAGAGAAAAGUAUGACUGCAGUGUACUGUAUUUCAUGAGUGGUGAUAUAUUCAAUAAAAAUAAAAAUUCACACUGUGGAAGUGGGCUU